rnacentral:rRNA from 1 species
GCUUGUCUCAAAGAUUAAGCCAUGCAUGUCUAAGUAUAAGCAAACUUGUACUGUGAAACUGCGAAUGGCUCAUUAUAUCAGUUAUAGUCUACUCGAUAGUACCUUACUACUUGGAUAACCGUAGUAAUUCUAGAGCUAAUACAUGCGCAAAUACCCAACUGCUUGUCGGACGGGUAGCAUUUAUUAGAUACAAAACCAAUGCCCUUCGGGGCUCCUUGGUGAUUCAUGAUAACUAUACGAAUCGCACGGCCUUGCGCCGGCGAUGGUUCAUUCAAAUUUCUUCCCUAUCAACUUUCGAUGUUUGGGUAUUGGCCAAACAUGGUUGCAACGGGUAACGGAGGGUUAGGGCUCGACCCCGGAGAAGGAGCCUGAGAAACGGCUACUACAUCCAAGGAAGGCAGCAGG